rnacentral:tRNA from 1 species
CUCCCCCGCGGGGAAUCGAACCCUGGUCGCCCGCGUGACAGGCGGUAAUACUAACCACUAUACUACCGAGGA